rnacentral:misc_RNA from 1 species
UUUCCAAUCAAAAUGCGUUUAUGAGUUCAUCCUGAAGUGAAAGAAUCUGCGUCUUGUGCUCAAAGAUUGGAUUCUUUAAAAAAACAUGCGUCUUUUCUCGUUUCAUUGCGUUUUGUUGUCUGCCUUAGCAAUUCUUUAUUAUGCAGAACGAUGUGAAGGAUUAACUAUAAAAAUCAAACUGAAAGAAGAUGUUGUCCUAAAGAUAACUUUGAUUGGAAAGAAAACAAAGAAUACUACAGACACAAAGAUCAAUUUACCUUACACUGAUAAAGAACAAUGGGAAAAACUUCGCAGUAAUAUGAUUGGAAACAGCUCUGAAGCAAAUAUGGAUAACGCAACUUCAUUAUUUGAUCGCAUUGUUAUCACAAAUGCAUUUGCACGAUCGAAAUCAAAUGAUGGCCGGUUUCUGUACCAAGGUGAUAUUUUAAUGGAUGCUGAUAGUUUCCUGCCUAAUACGAGGAAAAAAAGAGCCAUAAUUGCCUUUGAUUAUUUUCGAUGGAACGUCAAACAAGGAGUACCUUAUAAAUUACAUUCAUCUUUGGAUGCCGCCAGUCGCCGCGUUAUUCUUAGUGCAAUGAGAGAAUGGGAAGAAUCUUUGCCCUGUAUAAAAUGGCGAGUAAAAACUGCUGACGAUGUAGAUUUCGUUCACUUUUUUAAAGGUGAUGGAUGCUUUUCUCAGGUCGGGCGUACUGGUAGCGAACAGUCAUUAUCCAUAGGCAAAGGUUGCGCAGUUCAUGGCAUUGUUCUCCAUGAGAUGGGCCAUGCUCUGGGGAUUUUCCACGAACAGUCACGUCCAGAUAGAGAUGAUUACGUGGAAAUAGUGAAAGAAAAUAUCCUGGAAGGUUUUGAGUCGCAAUUUGAAAAAUUCGGUGAGGAGGCUAUCAACAGUUACAAUAUCUCAUAUGAUUACUCUUCAAUCAUGCAUUAUUCGGCAACGGCAUUUGCAAAACAAAGAGGAUUAGUUACGAUAGAGCCACGACCGAAACGCGACAUCAAAUUUGGUCAACGUCUUCACCUGAGUCCUAGUGAUAUCAGACAGGCAAGAGCUAUGUAUCGCUGUGAAGACACGGAGUUUAACGCGACUCCGGGCUCCACAACUACCCCUAAACCCACAACUACCCCCAAACCUACAACUAUGCGUAAACCCACGACAUCAAAAACGACAACUACCCCCAAACCGACAACAUUAAAACCCACAACAGCCCCAACACCAACAACAGAGCUAGAACUAUCUAGUGGCACACCACCUGAUGAUAUAACUGAAACUACAACAUUUGAAAAACAAACAGACACGGUCACUAUGCAAACAUCUACCCCCAAACCUACAACAUUAAAACCCACAACAGCCCCAACACCAACAACAGAGCUAGAACUAUCUAGUGGCACACCACCUGAUGAUAUAACCGAAACUACAACAUUUGAAAAACAAACAGACACGGUCACCAUGCAAACAACAACACAACCAACAGAAUCGCCAAUCAUCAGUACACCCAAAAUAGAAAAACCAACGAUUGCCACAGGCGUCGUUGAAACCCAAGAACUAAAAACCGAUGCAGGAGUAGUCGCUACAACAGAUACACCAAACUUGACAACCCAAAGACAAACGAAACCUGUUACAUUACCAUCCAAACCAUCCAAACCUGAAGAUUGCGUUGAUCUGUUGUCCACUUGUUACAAAUGGAUCCGCAAAGGCUAUUGCUCACCAUCAUCACCAAACUAUUGUUAUAUGAAGUACUUCUGCAGUAAAACUUGUCAAAUUUGGAGAAAUUCGGAGUUAAGCAUGGGAGCAACUUGUGUUGAUCUGCUUUCUGAUUGCGAGGCAAAGGCACUAACAGGUCAAUGUACUGAUUUGGAUAAUCGUGAAUACAUGGAAAAUAUGUGCUGUGAAUCAUGCCGUCAGGAAAAUUGUAUUGACGAAGAUCCUUCCUGCGGAGACUGGGCUACAUCUGUACGACUGUGCUCCCUUUACCCGUAUUUGCAGAAACGCUGUAAAAAGAGCUGCAAUUUGUGUGAGAUCUGAAAAAUUUUAGACUCUGAAUUAAGUAAAAUAUCCUCGUUCUACGAACUGCAUCUUAUAUCUGAAACAUAGAAGCUCCGAGAGGUUUGUGAUUUUCAUAGGCAUAGCCGCAUAGGUUGUUAAAACUAUAGACAUAUAUAAAUUUAGAUUUUUUGUUCUAAAAUGGGUAUACUGGUAUAUAUGGAAUAAUAAACGUAAUUCGAAAACACUGCAUAAUAAAAUGCUCUCAAAUUCUUGAAAUACCAUAGUAGCUAGUUUGUCUCAAUGUUUACGUAAAGAGAGUUUAAAGCUCGAACAGCGAUGAUUCCCCCUGGUUAAAACGAGCAGUUAUGGCACGAAAACGAGACCAUUGAGUUUAGAAGAGCCCAACAAGAGCUCACCUUUUGCAUGAUUUCCAACUGUUUUC